UCUAUUAAGACACACAUAAUCGGCUUGAUACUCUGUCUUAUGUGUUGCUGGCCUUGCGUGUGUUUACCCUACUGUAUGAAGUCCUGUCAGAAUGCCAAUCACUAUUGUCCCAAUUGUGACGCAUACAUUGGCACAUACAAAAAUUAACAAAAUAAUAACCAAAGCGGAAAAUAAGAAGCUAAAGCAAAAUGAAACAAACUCUUUUUAGAAACAUCUUUAAUAAAAUAAGUAGUAGCCUAGAGCUGCAUAAGAAAAUGGAUAAUAAAUGCUUCAUUACAUCUUAGCUAUAUACAUAUAUAUUAUAUAUAAUGUGAACUAAUAUUUGGAUAAAAUUAAAAACUUUUUUAAAAAUA